AAACUUACCAGGUCAAGACAUGGGCGUGAUUGACAGGCUAAUGACUUUUCUCGAUUCCAUGGAUGGUGGUGCAUGGUCGCACUUAGUUGGUGCAGUGAUUUGUCAGGUUUAUUCCGGUAACGAACGAGACCUCGGCCUUGUAAAUAGCUAUGCUGCUUACAGGGACAUUGGCGGCUACGCCAAGGAAGCUCGAGGCAAUUGCAGAUCUGGAAUGCCCUUAGAUGUCCUGGGUCGCACGCGUGCUACAAUGACGCCACGAACGAGCUUGCGUGAUGAAAGUUACGCAUAAUCAGCAGUCGGCGUCUUAAGGGAUAGUCUCUUGUAACUGUGGGACUCCAACUAGGAAUGUCUCGUAAGCACAAGUCAACAUCUUGUGUUGAUUACGUCCCUGCUCUUUGUACACACCGCCCGUCGCUCCUACCGAUCGAGUGUUUAGGUGAAUUUGAUGGACGUAAGGAAGUCAAAUAAACCUGAGCACUAGAGAAGAGAAGUCGAUCACC
rnacentral:rRNA from 1 species